GCCACAUCUCUGCUUAAAGCUCUUCAUAUAAAUACUGUUUUGUAAGUGCUUAGUUUUUAGGAUCCCUUCUCCUUGUAUGUAUGUUGUCAAAAUGUAUCACUUUUGUUUUCUAUUUUCAUUAAAUUUUGGCCUCCUCUCAAAUGUCCUUUCCUCCCCGGGCGAUUACGGCCAUUUGGCUUGUUCAAAAUCCUGAUUCCAGAAUGAUAGGCAAUGUAUGAGUGUUU
rnacentral:misc_RNA from 1 species